rnacentral:rRNA from 1 species
AGCGUACACGGUGGAUGCCCUGGCAGUCAGAGGCGAUGAAGGACGUGCUAAUCUGCGAUAAGCGUCGGUAAGGUGAUAUGAACCGUUAUAACCGGCGAUUUCCGAAUGGGGAAACCCAGUGUGUUUCGACACACUAUCAUUAACUGAAUCCAUAGGUUAAUGAGGCGAACCGGGGGAACUGAAACAUCUAAGUACCCCGAGGAAAAGAAAUCAACCGAGAUUCCCCCAGUAGCGGCGAGCGAACGGGGAGCAGCCCAGAGCCUGAAUCAGUGUGUGUGUUAGUGGAAGCGUCUGGAAAGGCGCGCGAUACAGGGUGACAGCCCCGUACACAAAAAUGCACAUGCUGUGAGCUCGAUGAGUAGGGCGGGACACGUGGUAUCCUGUCUGAAUAUGGGGGGACCAUCCUCCAAGGCUAAAUACUCCUGACUGACCGAUAGUGAACCAGUACCGUGAGGGAAAGGCGAAAAGAACCCCGGCGAGGGGAGUGAAAAAGAACCUGAAACCGUGUACGUACAAGCAGUGGGAGCACGCUUAGGCGUGUGACUGCGUACCUUUUGUAUAAUGGGUCAGCGACUUAUAUUCUGUAGCAAGGUUAACCGAAUAGGGGAGCCGAAGGGAAACCGAGUCUUAACUGGGCGUUAAGUUGCAGGGUAUAGACCCGAAACCCGGUGAUCUAGCCAUGGGCAGGUUGAAGGUUGGGUAACACUAACUGGAGGACCGAACCGACUAAUGUUGAAAAAUUAGCGGAUGACUUGUGGCUGGGGGUGAAAGGCCAAUCAAACCGGGAGAUAGCUGGUUCUCCCCGAAAGCUAUUUAGGUAGCGCCUCGUGAAUUCAUCUCCGGGGGUAGAGCACUGUUUCGGCAAGGGGGUCAUCCCGACUUACCAACCCGAUGCAAACUGCGAAUACCGGAGAAUGUUAUCACGGGAGACACACGGCGGGUGCUAACGUCCGUCGUGAAGAGGGAAACAACCCAGACCGCCAGCUAAGGUCCCAAAGUCAUGGUUAAGUGGGAAACGAUGUGGGAAGGCCCAGACAGCCAGGAUGUUGGCUUAGAAGCAGCCAUCAUUUAAAGAAAGCGUAAUAGCUCACUGGUCGAGUCGGCCUGCGCGGAAGAUGUAACGGGGCUAAACCAUGCACCGAAGCUGCGGCAGCGACGCUUAUGCGUUGUUGGGUAGGGGAGCGUUCUGUAAGCCUGCGAAGGUGUGCUGUGAGGCAUGCUGGAGGUAUCAGAAGUGCGAAUGCUGACAUAAGUAACGAUAAAGCGGGUGAAAAGCCCGCUCGCCGGAAGACCAAGGGUUCCUGUCCAACGUUAAUCGGGGCAGGGUGAGUCGACCCCUAAGGCGAGGCCGAAAGGCGUAGUCGAUGGGAAACAGGUUAAUAUUCCUGUACUUGGUGUUACUGCGAAGGGGGGACGGAGAAGGCUAUGUUGGCCGGGCGACGGUUGUCCCGGUUUAAGCGUGUAGGCUGGUUUUCCAGGCAAAUCCGGAAAAUCAAGGCUGAGGCGUGAUGACGAGGCACUACGGUGCUGAAGCAACAAAUGCCCUGCUUCCAGGAAAAGCCUCUAAGCAUCAGGUAACAUCAAAUCGUACCCCAAACCGACACAGGUGGUCAGGUAGAGAAUACCAAGGCGCUUGAGAGAACUCGGGUGAAGGAACUAGGCAAAAUGGUGCCGUAACUUCGGGAGAAGGCACGCUGAUAUGUAGGUGAAGUCCCUCGCGGAUGGAGCUGAAAUCAGUCGAAGAUACCAGCUGGCUGCAACUGUUUAUUAAAAACACAGCACUGUGCAAACACGAAAGUGGACGUAUACGGUGUGACGCCUGCCCGGUGCCGGAAGGUUAAUUGAUGGGGUCAGCGCAAGCGAAGCUCUUGAUCGAAGCCCCGGUAAACGGCGGCCGUAACUAUAACGGUCCUAAGGUAGCGAAAUUCCUUGUCGGGUAAGUUCCGACCUGCACGAAUGGCGUAAUGAUGGCCAGGCUGUCUCCACCCGAGACUCAGUGAAAUUGAACUCGCUGUGAAGAUGCAGUGUACCCGCGGCAAGACGGAAAGACCCCGUGAACCUUUACUAUAGCUUGACACUGAACAUUGAGCCUUGAUGUGUAGGAUAGGUGGGAGGCUUUGAAGUGUGGACGCCAGUCUGCAUGGAGCCGACCUUGAAAUACCACCCUUUAAUGUUUGAUGUUCUAACGUUGACCCGUAAUCCGGGUUGCGGACAGUGUCUGGUGGGUAGUUUGACUGGGGCGGUCUCCUCCUAAAGAGUAACGGAGGAGCACGAAGGUUGGCUAAUCCUGGUCGGACAUCAGGAGGUUAGUGCAAUGGCAUAAGCCAGCUUGACUGCGAGCGUGACGGCGCGAGCAGGUGCGAAAGCAGGUCAUAGUGAUCCGGUGGUUCUGAAUGGAAGGGCCAUCGCUCAACGGAUAAAAGGUACUCCGGGGAUAACAGGCUGAUACCGCCCAAGAGUUCAUAUCGACGGCGGUGUUUGGCACCUCGAUGUCGGCUCAUCACAUCCUGGGGCUGAAGUAGGUCCCAAGGGUAUGGCUGUUCGCCAUUUAAAGAGGUACGUGAGCUGGGUUUAAAACGUCGUGAGACAGUUUGGUCCCUAUCUGCCGUGGGCGUUGGAAGAUUGACGGGGGCUGCUCCUAGUACGAGAGGACCGGAGUGGACGCACCUCUGGUGUACCGGUUGUCACGCCAGUGGCAUUGCCGGGUAGCUAAGUGCGGAAGAGAUAACCGCUGAAAGCAUCUAAGCGGGAAACUUGCCUGAAGAUGAGUCUUCCCGGAGGUAAAACCUCCCUCAAGAGUCGUCCGAGACCAGGACGUCGAUAGGUCAGGUGUGUAAGCGCUGUGAGGCGUUGAGCUAACUGAUACUAAUUGCUCGUGAGGCUUGAUC